rnacentral:tRNA from 1 species
UGCUUAGAAGGAUAACAGCUCAUCCGUUGGUCUUAGGAACCAAAAACUCUUGGUGCAAAUCCAAGCAGCAG